UCUUGGUCAUUUAGAGGAAGUAAAAGUCGUAACAAGGUUUCCGUAGGUGAACCUGCGGAAGGAUCAUUAUAGAAUAAACCCAAAGCUCAGACUGUUGCUGGCUCUUAGGAGUAAUUGUGCACGUCUAGCGUGUUUUUCUUUAACCCACCUGUGAACCUUUUGUAGAUUUGAAAAACAUCACCUUGUCGAUAACAUUCGGUUAGAAGAUUGCAAUGCGCAAGUUUGCUCUCUUUGAAUGUUUUUCAAUCUAUGUAUUUAUUAUAAACUCUAAAAACAAACAUAGAAUGUAUAACUAUUGGCCUUUGGUGCCUUUAAUCUAAAAUACAACUUUCAACAACGGAUCUCUUGGCUCUCGCAUCGAUGAAGAACGCAGCGAAAUGCGAUAAGUAAUGUGAAUUGCAGAAUUCAGUGAAUCAUCGAAUCUUUGAACGCACCUUGCGCUCCUUGGUAUUCCGAGGAGCAUGCCUGUUUGAGUGUCAUUAAAUUAAAUCAAACCUUUGUUGUUUUAUAUAACAAAAGUUUGGAAUGUGGAGGUUUUUGUAGGCUUUCUUAAAGUCUGCUCCUCUUAAAAGCAUUAGCGAAAAUCUUUGUGAGCAAAUUUUCCUGGUGUGAUAAUUAUCUACGCCAUGGCUUGAUCACAUUAAAGAACUUUUUUUGCUUCUAAUCGUCGUCAUUUGACGACAACUAUUGAACAAUUUGACCUCAAUCAGGUAGGACUACCCGCUGAACUUAAGCAUAUCAAUAAGCGGAGGAAAAGAAACUAACAAGGAUUCCCCUAGUAACUGCGAGUGAAGCGGGAAAAGCUCAAAUUUAAAAUCUGGCGGUCUUUUGGCUGUCCGAGUUGUAAUCUA
rnacentral:rRNA from 1 species